ensembl:lncRNA
GGCCUCCCCUAGACCCUCCCUUCAGUCUGCGCUCAGCCCCACGUCCCCACACGACGCACUGGACGCUGCGUUGAGUUUUGGGUCACCUGUCGCUGCAGUUGGACGAUGGAUUUUCUCGGGGGCACGCGGGUCUCCGACGGGGCACCAGUCAGGUGCGUGCUGGCUGGAGAGCUCUCGGCCAUCAAGCCUGCCGUGUGGUCUGAGAGGCGGUCACCAGGGUGCUGGGAGGAUCCGGGCAGAAGUAGCUGCUUCUCCAGGCUGCCAUUUCCAGGGCGUCGGAGUCCCGGUCCCGCCUCCUGCCCAGGACGCCCUCCGCGAGCCCGUGGCCUGUGGGGGCCGGUCCUUCGCUGCAGCUGCCGGGCAGCUGAAGAGGGCGUGGAGGGCGGAAGCACGGGCAACGGUUGUUUCCUGCGGAGAAGGGCAGGGGACACGGAGCGGCGCCUGGACUCUGGGCCUGCGGCCUCUCCGGAGGGCUGCGCACCCCUGAGCCUGCCCUGGGCGCGCCGGCUGUCGGGGGACCCUUCUGCACAAGGUUCAGAGGGCUCAUCUUGAACAAGACUGUCACCAAGCAGCAGUGCAAAGAAUAUUUGGAGCUUGACAUUUUCAUCUAUGGCCCAUUUCACCUUAGGUUUUCUACAUUAUUACCAUAAACUCAAUAAAAGGGACAGAGUAUUGAUGUAUGCAACAACAUGGAUGGAUCUCAAAAGCAUUUAUGUUGAAUUACAUAAAUCAGAUCAAAAAAGAGGACAUACUAUAUGACCUCAUUCUAGAACAUUCUAAAAAAUGCAAACAAAUAUAAAAUAACAGAAAGCAGAUUUCCUUGUUUAUCUCAGAGGAGGCCAGGCUACAACUUGCUUCAGUUUUCUUGCAUCCACACUUGUUCAAUACCAGCUGCCUCUGACAUAUUGCUUAUUCCACCUAGCAAUAGUGAAGUUGUGUUUAUCUGAGGUGUCUUAGUGGGGAAAUUGAUGCCACGUCUGCCCUGGUCACGAAGAUCUGUCCCCUGAGUCUGUCUCUGAAAAAGCUUGGUGGUGCCAUCACCAAGGCAACCAGUGACAUGAAGGGCCUGGUAUAGUGGACCUGCACAUUUAGUACAGCCUGAUUAAGGUGGUACCUUCUACCUCUGCCUUGGCCAUCAAAGCCUCAAAGAACCACCUCGAGACAGAAACAAGCAGAACAACAUGAAACACAUAGGAAAUACCACUGCUGAAGAGGUUGUCAACUUUGCAUGACAAGCGUGGCACAGAUUUUUAGCCAGUGAGCUCUCUGGAACCAUUCAAGACAUCCUGUGGACUGCCCCGUGUAUGGCUGCAGUGUUGAUGGUCACCGCCAUCGUGACACGACAGGGAUGACAUCAACCAGUGCAACUGAAAGCCCAGCUAGUUAGGAACUAUUAAUACUAAGGAAGCUGUGUCAAUAAAGGAUCGCUUGUAAACCAGUAAAAAAUACUCCCCAAACCACAAAAAAACACCCCCCCUGCAAAAAAAGGACAAACAAACAAGAAACAGAUUAGUGGUUGGCGAGUAGGUUGCAGACAGGCCUGGGAAACUAUUGGGCGUCAUGGGAUUGUUUGUAAUGUUGACUGUGAUGCUGGUUACAUGAGUGUGUGUAAAUUUCAACACUGGUCAAGUUGUCCUCUUUGAACAUGUGCAUUUUAUUGUAUCAUUCAUACCUUAGUAAUACCAUAAAAAUAAAAAGUUUCUUCCUCUGAGGAACCUUGUAAUUUAGCUGCCACAAAAAACUCUUAAAUCAGAACCAGAUAUUAAUUUUUUCUUAAGUCACAUUUAAAUUAGAAGUAACAUUAAAUUUUAUCAAUCUGCUUUUUCUAGUGUGGUCAGUUGUCCUUAGGUAGAGAAGGAGCCCAGGGAGCAUAUUUUAUGGUCUCAUUGCAGUGUGCUGUUCCUUUUGAAACUGGUGUCUUAUCUUUACAUCUGCAAUUAGCCAAAGCUGGCACCUUCAAGAAUAAAUCCUGUACUCAAACAUGUUGGCACUUAACCCUGCAC